rnacentral:rRNA from 1 species
CGGGACGGGUGAGUAAUGUCGGGGAAACUGCCCGAUGGAGGGGGAUAACUACUGGAAACGGUAGCUAAUACCGCAUAACGUCGCAAGACCAAAGAGGGGGACCUUCGGGCCUCUUGCCAUCGGAUGUGCCCAGAUGGGAUUAGCUAGUAGGUGGGGUAACGGCUCACCUAGGCGACGAUCCCUAGCUGGUCUGAGAGGAUGACCAGCCACACUGGAACUGAGACACGGUCCAG